rfam:Ictidomys tridecemlineatus contig022656, whole genome shotgun sequence.
CAGUGCAGUCACCCAUAAAGUAGAAAGCACUACUAACAGCACUGGAGGGUGUAGUGUUUCCUACUUUAUGGAUGAGUGUACUGU